rnacentral:lncRNA from 1 species
CUGAGAUGAAAUGCUCUGUUCAGCAGAAUAAAGGGUUAUCUCUAGUACAAAAGAAAACCAUAGUUUCUAUGAGGGGGUUCAUCUCAAUUUGACACUGCUCUUAAUUAGUUCAGAUGAAUCAUAAAUACCAGAGCACAGAAUGAAGUCUCUCAUUGUAUCUGUUAUCAACACACUGUAUGCAACCAAAUUUAGAAGUCAAAAUGUAGGAGAGCAUUUGAAAUGUAUAAACAUUUAUGUGGAACCACAUUGCAAACUCCUUGAGAUCUGCCACAGGUGACACAGGAUCUCUGGGAUGUCCCUAAAACAUCUUUGCGGGAUCAGGUCAGAUAUACCAGGACAUCUUGUGAUGUGAUGGCCAUGUCACAGUGGGCAGAAUGUUGGUGGCUGCCCAGGACAGGUAUAUAAAGGGUUGUGCCGGUGAGCCGGCCAGCCCAGGGCAGAGGCAAGCAGUGGAGGUGGACAGAGACAUGACCAGACCAUGGCACACUCCUGUCCUCAGCCACCCAGCUGGAGGGAUGUGCUGCUUUCUGCUAGGACUUCAACAAAAAGGCCCAGACUGGGACACAGCUGGACUGUGGCACACUCCUGUCCCCCCUCAGCCACUCUGCCUGAGGUCACUGCAGCUCUCUGGGGUGACAUUGCCCUAGGGAUGAGGAAAGCUUCCAGCCCCAGCCUCCACCGCACUGCAGCCUUACAGGGGCUGGAGGUGCCCCACAGCGGUGGGUGAGGAGAACUCCGUGCCACCCACCCUCCCUUUUCCUAUGUGAAAAUCUCAAAAUAAAAUCUUCUGAUUGAUGAACCCA